ensembl:lncRNA
GAAAGCUUCACGGCUGUGAGUGUAUGUGCAACAUACUUUUAUAGCUCUCUUUCCAUUCUUGGUGUUUAUUUUUGCAUUUUUCACUGUGAUUCCUCCAAUUUACAGGUUUGGUUUUUUUCCUCCUUCUUGCAGAACUUGAAAGAGACACCCGUGGGUUGCUGACCUCUGUCAGUGAUGGUGUCUGCGGAGAUUGCAGCUGCUAUUUAUCUGCCUGCACACAGAUCACUUCACAGUUCUCCCAGACAGUUUUCAACCACGCAUAGUGGGAGCUGUCCUAUUUUCCUUGUUGUUGUCCUCAUCCUGUGUAUGGGAACUGUUGAAUCAUGGCCUGAACCUCUGAUUGACCACCUGAGGCGAGUGCUGAGUCAGUCGCAGGGGCACAGGUGAAGGCAAUUUCACCUGAGUGACCGGAAGGGGUGGAUCCUGGCUGCACCCCUCCUAGGCCCCAUUUAAGGGCUGACUCCCAAGGAGGAUGGGUCUCUAUCUGGAGAUCACUCCUCUUGGAGCCCUUCUGUGAGCCCAGGACACAGGUUUCGUGUUUAUAGAACGAAGAAGGACAUCUUGUAAAGGCGCCUUUUCAUGUGCGGAGAGACCAUAAAAAUAUCAAGACCCCAGAAUGUUAAAGAGAAUCAGGAAUGCACAUGGAAAAUGCUACACUAAUCACUGAAUUUCUGCUCCCAAAGACCUCUGUUUACUGAGCUGCAGCCAGCCCUGAUGAGCUUGGAGUAUGCCAGCAAAAGUGUGCAUAUCAGAAAGCUGCUGUGGAGUACAUGUUGUGAAGUGUAUGGGAACUGUUGAAUCACGGCCUGAACCUCUGAUUGACCACCUGAGGACAAACCUAGAGGUUUCAUCCCAAAAGAACAAACUUCUAGCAAAAGGCAUGGAUUAAGGAAAAAAGCUCAGGUUGGCCAGAAAUGGUGGAAGAAAGUCAAGAACAUUAAGAUAAAACAUAAGGCAAAGAAGAGAGUGAAUCUGCCUUCUGUAGCCCUGUACUCCCACUCCAGUCAGUUUCUACAUCAACUGAUAGGUGGGGAAGAGGACAUAACAGAACGAAAGCCAAGAAGAAAAUUGCAGCAAAGGGAUGGAGGAGUGCUGCUUAACCGUCUGUCUCCUGAAGUCUUCAGAUGUUGGCUAAGAUUUCCUCUGCUGGAUGUGUAUGUCAGACUUCUACAAAAUCAACCCCCGCUCAACUACUCUGAGCUGGUAGGCAUCCUAAGUAAUGCUGUUGAAUAAACUGAAGUAAUUUGGGAUACAAUUUGGCAUAAGAGAUCACAAUUACUCUCCUGAGAUUAUUCCAGCAUUACAUCCACUUAUGAAACUACAAAAGAAAUCUGUCCACUGAAAUUCAUCUUCUAUGAAAGCUGCAGGAAGCGCUGACUGUCUACUUCCAGUGUGCCUGCCCAAAGGGAGACCUCUCUGCUGGAUCCCAACAAGAGGAGAUGACAAACAAGACAAGCGCAUUUCGUAGCACCCAUGACUCAGAUGGAGCAGAUCAGCUCUUCAGCUAUUGCUUCAUUAACCAAGGCUUGUUUGCUACAGACAUCACCAUCAAGAGUUUCCAGAGAUGCCACUGAAAGGCUUCUCAGUGUUGCAGAAAAAGCCACUGUUGCUUCCAAACUGCUAUAGGAACUGACAGGAGCGCUCCAUAUCCAGGUGCUGACUGACCACUGAAGAGCAGUUUGUAUGAAGAGCCUCAAAGGAGCUUCCAAAAGAAACUCAAAAACCUUGAGAUGGGGACCUUAGAAAUGAAAAGAUUGAAUGUCUUAUGACAGGCAAGCAAGGAGUCUGUGGCUGAAUCAUGGAGAAAACUCAAAUGUCCUGAGGAAUAAACACUCUGAGCAAUUUCUAGGUGACAGAAAACCAACUAGGAAAAAGCCCAGCAGGCCACAGAAAAUCAGAGAUAAGGGAAACAUCUGAAGGACUGGUGUAAAGCUACUCUGAAGCUGCCUCUCUGUGUGAUUAAGCAACUCCAAUUAGCAGCAGUGUCACAAACAGAACGCAUGAGGGCAUUUCUGCCAUUCCUGAGCCCUCAGCAAUCCGCUUGCUUUGGUAUUCUACGAUAGUCCCACCUCUCUUGGAGCCACGUGCAAAGCUCACAGACAUCAGCAGGAAUUGGAGCUGUUCUUAUUUCGCUUGUGAGCGCAGUAAGUUAUUGGUUGGGGAAAUGAGUCAGGAAGAAAAUAGUAAAAAAAAAAAGCAACCCCAAACAUCAGUCCUUGGUUCUGCCAUCUCCUGAGGUGCCCCAUGGUCAGCGUAGGAGACAGCGCCUCGGGGGUGGUGGGAAUUGCUGAUGUAGGUCUCCAGAGUGGAAUUUGCCUUGGAUGGAGACAGCACUGGUAGCUGCCCUACGUGCAUGGCUCUCCUCCAUUCCUACAUCCACUGACCUCUGCACCAAAAGCCCAUCCCAGUGCGUGUGUCCACAGCCUGAAAAAGCAGGCAGAGGCCAUGAGCAGGGAGAAGAGAGAAAAAGCAUUGGCAACUGGAGAUGUGGGUCUAGAACUCUUAACAAUAAGCUACUUAUCUUUGCCUCUGGUUACCACUGGGCAGCGAUUCCCUCGGCACAGCAGCAUGAUGUUGGGCCACACGCUGGCCAAGGCAGUGCCCAAUUGCCCACAGCCUGGAUGGGAACUCUUCCUUGAUGCAUCAGGGCAGGCUCCAGCCUCCAUCCCAGAGGCACCAACAGCCAAACACAGGUUUCUCUUCCUCAGGAGCACGGUGCUCAUGCUGCUCGCUUGUGGCUACGAACAGCAGAGGGGAAAACAAUGCGAUAAGUGCAGAAUGGUUUUAUUGUCAUGUCAACAAAAUAUUUUCUGCCUCCACAGACUGUGGAAGUGCUCAGCAUGCAGCACCCUUCCAGUUUUGGAAAACACUUGAAAACCACCGACAGAAUCUCACUAUUCCUUUUUUUAGCUCCAUAAUAAAAAGCAAACAAGAAAUAUGCUGAUCCCCAAAAUGAGCUUAUUUUUUUCCUUUUUUUUUUUAGCAAUUUAAUUUUUUAGCUUUGAUCUGAUACCAGAACCCAGAGGACUUACUUGCUAUUUCUAAAUAAUGAGUCUAAUGUUU